rnacentral:lncRNA from 1 species
UACUGCUAUCAGCUGGACCAAGCAUGUUAAUAAAUCAUCCGGACCUUUCAAAGUUCACAAAGUCCUACUUUGAUCAAAGGAUGUUCCUCUUCCAACAGCGAAUUCUGCAGGUUCAAUCCAGACCUUCAAGAACCACAGCUUCUUGGGCCCUGCUACCCUCUGACUAUAAUCCUGCCCGUGAAAGAAGUCUUCGGGGGGUGAUGCACCUGUUUUGCUGCUGAUAUUGGCAAUGACAGAGCUAUCAUUACGAG